AUCCAACUGAGGAGUCCCAAACAGGACGAAAUGCGCGUCCUGGAU
rfam:Schistosoma mansoni, Puerto Rico, WGS project CABG01000000 data, contig: 0178